GAAUCUUGGACAAUGGGGGCAACCCUGAUCCAGCGACGCCGCGUGGGUGGUAAGGCCUUCGGGUUGUAAAGCCCUUUCACCGGGGAGGAUGAUGACGUCACCCGGAGAAGAAGCGCCGGCUAACUCCGUGCCAGCAGCCGCGGUAAGACGGAGGGCGCUAGCGUUGUUCGGAAUCACUGGGCGUAAAGGGCGCGUAGGCGGCCAUUUAAGUCGGGGGUGAAAUCCCGGGGCUCAACCCCGGAACUGCCUUCGAGACUGGGUGGCUGGAGACCGGAAGAGGAGGGUGGAAUACCCAGUGUAGAGGUGAAAUUCGUAGAUAUUGGGUGGAACACCAGUGGCGAAAGCGGCUCUCUGGUCCGGGUCUGACGCUGAGGCGCGAAAGCGUGGGGAGCAAACAGG
rnacentral:rRNA from 1 species